rnacentral:rRNA from 1 species
CAGAGGGUGCGAGCGUUGUUCGGAAUUACUGGGCGUAAAGCGCGCGCAGGCGGCUUCCUAAGUCUUGUGGUCAAAUGCCGGGGCUCAACCCCGAGCGUGCCGGGGAUACUGGGAGGCUGGAGACAGGUAGAGGCAAGCGGAAUUCCGGGUGUAGCGGUGGAAUGCGUAGAGAUCCGGAAGAACACCGGAGGCGAAGGCGGCUUGCUGGACCUGGUCUGACGCUGAGGCGCGAAAGCGUGGGGAGCGAACAGGAUUAGAUACCCUGGUAGUCCACGCCGUAAACGAUGGGCACUAGACGCUGGUGGGAUCGACCCCUUCAGUGUCGAAGCUAACGCGAUAAGUGCCCCGCCUGGGGAGUACGGCCGCAAGGCUG